AUAUGUAUGACAUGCUCUUUGAUUAUGAUGAUGAUCUAAAGUAGUUCCAAUCUUGUUAGUAUUUAUAAUUUUUUUUUGUAAAUAUAUAUUUAACAUUAGCUGAAAUAUUUUCCCAACUAUUACUUAACCUAUAAGUGAGUGGAGACAUUUUUAUUUGAUAUACAUAUGGUAUGUUGUACAUAUAUGAGGAAAAAUGAGGCAAAAGUACAUAAAGGUAUCAGAGCACUUGCAUAAGAAUAAAUUAAAUUAUCAAUGAUGCCUGAGAUGAAUGGUAGUGAGUGAUGGGAGAUGAACAAGAGGAGCAGUGGCAUUUCACUGGCACUCAGCAACUAAGAGCAAAGAGUAUCCAGUUUCAUUUUCUUUCUUAUCUGUUACAUGCAUGCACUAAAACGUACACAUACUAAAACACUAAGAUAUACUUUCCACUCCAGGUGGUGUAUUCAGAUGAUGUAACACACAUACUGAAUGUUGCAUUAUUAAACAAGUCAGAGGCAGUGUGUUAGAUAUUAAUGUUGGAUAAAGCUUGAGCAGGGAAUUAAAGGG